rnacentral:rRNA from 1 species
AGCGAACGCUGGCGGCAGGCUUAACACAUGCAAGUCGAACGGGCGUAGCAAUACGUCAGUGGCAGACGGGUGAGUAACACGUGGGAACGUACCUCUUGGUUCGGAACAACACAGGGAAACUUGUGCUAAUACCGGAUAAGCCCUUACGGGGAAAGAUUUAUCGCCGAGAGAUCGGCCCGCGUCUGAUUAGCUAGUUGGUAGGGUAAUGGCCUACCAAGGCGACGAUCAGUAGCUGGUCUGAGAGGAUGAUCAGCCACAUUGGGACUGAGACUCGGCCCAAACUCCUACGGGAGGCAGCAGAGGGGAAUAUUGGACAAUGGGGUCAACCAUGAUCCAGCCAUGCCGCGUGAGUGAUGAAGGCCCUAGGGUUGUAAAGCUCUUUUGUGCGGGAAGAUAAUGACGGUACCACAAGAAUAAGCCCCGGCUAACUUCGUGCCAGCCGCCGCCGUAA